rnacentral:rRNA from 1 species
AUGUGGCUAGUCCUGGACUGGCACCAUCACCUGCAUCAUCAGCAACAGUGGAUGGCAUGUAUGGAUAGCACCCAGGUUCUUCAAAUACACAACAAGAAAAUGCCAAUGCAAUUCCAUCUCCUAUUGUGCAAGCUCCUAGUGGACAUGCGCACCAACCGCUCAGUAUGGCAUCUCUACAUGCAGCUGUUGCGGCCGCACAAGGUACUACGAUGGUUGAACCACAGUUUGGAAGACCUUCUACCACACUUGGCCCUGCAAUUCCUAGAGACCCUCCAAAAUCAACAACAAAAGGGAGGGCAAAGUCAAAAAGAAUUCAAUCAGCACUUGAGCUGCAUCUGA